CUGUUCCAUGAAAUUUGUUAGGAUUGAAUUUGUGGUGGUCGCUUGAUAUCAUCGAUCACGAUUGUGUCAGCCUUAGAGAAUAGUCCUUAGGGUAAGCAGCAGCAGUACCGUGGGCUUUAAGCUGGUCUCUCUGUGUGUGUCCCUCCACAACCAAUUUUAACACUCGGAGUAAUAAUGUAGAAUAUUUUACGUGGUGAAUGAUUAAGCCAUUUCUUCAAAGUCAUGUGUUGAGAAAACCAGAGAAGGCUGCUCAGUAUGCACUGGUGCCCUGAUUGAGCGAUUAAAUUCGGUGACUGCUCCGUGAUAGUCAACUUACCGUGCUGUUUGGCUUUCGCCUUGGACCUAGUAAGUCUUUUAUCUUAACACAGCCAACAUGGCCCUUACAGCGGAGAAAGGCCAGGGAAGAUUUCAUGUGCCAAUGGGAGAUCGAACUGCUGGUGAACCUCGACUAUAUAUUAUCGUUGUCCAUAGACCACCGCUGGUAAGUACCAGCUGAAAUCCUGGUUCACUUGAAAUGCAGAACUGGUUCUGUGAACUGGAAAGGGUUGAUCGAAACUAAAUGAAGAUUAUACACUCCGGUUCGCACUGGAGUCACUUGCAUAGAUUUUGAGGAUAUGUUUCGUUUUGACUAUAGUUGACUAUGCAGAAAACACUUGAGUUUCUUAAUGUUCUUCAGAUUCAUGGUAUUCCAAAGGUCAUGGAAGUGCUAACGCUUAUGGAUAAAUUCGAGGAUGCCAAGCGUCUGUAGAAGACAAAAAAUGUUGAAGAAUCGAUUUUGGACAGAGAUCUGCGACGCGUUCAAAUUGCUCUAUCUCUCUGGGCUUGUCUAUGGAAAGAAAGUUUAACUAGCACUCCUCAGCCUUGGCAUCGAUGUUGUGCUGGUGCUUUCUUGGUGCUGGUUAGGGAUUCUCCAGACUUAAUUCCUUGUAGUGUCUCAUGAUUUUGUGUCAAUAGGCAGAUAUUCAACGCGAGAGAUUUACAACUUGGCACUUAGUAGUUUUGACUGCAGGUGCACAUUACAGGGGUUGGUGUCUGCAAAUUAGCUGGAGUCUCGGCACUUUAAGACCCCUGCCCUCUCCCUUCGGUCUCAACGAAGAAGGGGCGAAAAGAGGAAGAAAAACAUCUACAUUCCCCCUGGUCUGAUGUUGAGGAAGUGGAUCAUGACAAGGAUGCUACUUAUGUGGAUAUUAUUGGAGACCCAGAGAUAGGCCCUCUUUCCAUCCAAUAGUAAGAUUGUGAGGAAAAGUGAUAAUUCAGAGGGUGGCUAUGUGGAUGGCGAGGACGAAAAGGAUCUUGAGGAUGUAAAGAGGCAUAUUUUUAGGACAACAGUUUUGAAGGCAGUUCCUGAAAGAUUUUAACAAUCGUAGUGAAUGAAAUUUAUAGUGGCAUGAUAAGACGUAGAUCUGCUUUUUAGGACGAUGAAGAGACAGAUGCUGGAUAAACGUGCUGGAUAAUGGGAAAAAAUGUGGAACAUGUUGAUUCCAACGAUGAAUCUCAAGAUACUGGCGUACUAGAAAAAUUAUGCCUGCUUCUCUUUACUGAAUUUUCAUGAACAUACCCCAUGUACUCAAAACUUCAAAUUGUGGUUUUCUCAGGGUUCAAGUUCGCCAUU